UUUGGCCCAAAAUCGUUUACCGUGAAAAAAUUAGAGUGUUCAAAGCAGCAGAUCCAAUUUUCUGCCACCGAAUACAUUAGCAUGGGAUAAUGGAAUAGGACCCUGUCCUCCUAUUUUCAGUUGGUUUUGGCAGCGCGAGGACUAGGGUAAUGAUUAAUAGGGAUAGUUGGGGGCAUUAAUAUUUAAUUGUCAAGGUGAAAUUCUUGGAUUUAUGAAAGAUUAACUUCUGC
rnacentral:rRNA from 1 species